rnacentral:rRNA from 1 species
UACGAAGGGGGCUAGCGUUGUUCGGAAUUACUGGGCGUAAAGCGCGCGCAGGCGGUUUUCCAAGUCAGUGGUGAAAGCCCGGAGCUCAACUCCGGAAAUGCCAUUGAAACUGCAAAACUUGAGUACGAGAGAGGUGAGUGGAAUUCCCAGUGUAGAGGUGAAAUUCGUAGAUAUUCGCAAGAACACCAGUGGCGAAGGCGGCUCACUGGCCCGAUACUGACGCUGAGGUGCGAAAGCGUGGGGAGCAAACAGG